GGAGGGACCUUGUAGCUCAGCGGCAGAGCAGCCGCCUUCCAUGCAGAAGGUCCCAGGUUCAGUUCCCGGCCUUUCU